rnacentral:rRNA from 1 species
UACGAAGGGUGCAAGCGUUGCUCGGAAUUAUUGGGCGUAAAGGGUAGGUAGGUGGUUACGUAUGUCUGGGGUGAAAUCCCUGAGCUUAACUCAGGAAGUGCCUUGGAAACGGCGUAACUAGAGUACUGGAGAGGUUCGCAGAAUUCUUGGUGUAGCGGUGAAAUGCGUAGAGAUCAAGAGGAAUACCAGAGGCGAAGGCGGCGAACUGGACAGUAACUGACACUCAACUACGAAAGCGUGGGGAGCAAACAGG